GAAGGAUAAGUCAGUGGUGAAUCAUGCGGCUUAACCGUAAAAUUGCCAUUGAUACUGUUUUUCUUGAGUGUGGUUGAGGUAGACGGAAUGAGUAAUGUANCGGUGANAUGCUUAGAUAUUACUCAGAACACCGAUUGCGUAGGCAGCUUACUAAGCCAUUACUGACGCUGAUGCACGAAAGCGUGGGUAGCAAACAGGAUUAGAUACCCUGGUAGUCCACGCAGUAAACGUUGAUUACUCGUUGUUGGCAAUACAUCGUCAGCGACUGAGCAAAAGCAUUAAGUAAUCCACCUGGGGAGUACGUCAGCAAUGAUGAAACUCAAAGGAAUUGACGGGGGCCCGCACAAGCGGAGGAACAUGUGGUUUAAUUCGAUGAUACGCGAGGAACCUUACCUGGGCUUAAAUGUUAAGUGCUAUACCGGGAGACCGGUUUUUCCUUCGGGACACUUUACAAGGUGCUGCAUGGUUGUCGUCAGCUCGUGCCGUGAGGUGUCGGGUUAAGUCCCACAACGAGCGCAACCCCUAUUGCCAGUUGCCAGCACAUCAUGGUGGGAACUCUGGUAAAACUGCCGGUGCAAACCGCGAGGAAGGUGGGGAUGACGUCAAAUCAGCACGGCCAUUAUGUCCAGGGCUACACACGUGUUACAAUGGUCGGUACAACAGGAAGCUAUUCCGCGAGGAACCGCUAAUCCCGAAAGCCGAUCUUAGUUCGGAUCGGAGUCUGCAAUUCGACUCCGUGAAGCUGGAUUCGCUAGUAAUCGCAGAUCAGCCAUGCUGCGGUGAAUAUGUUCCCGGGCAUUGUACACACCGCCCG
rnacentral:rRNA from 1 species